GAUGAACGCUGGCGGCGUGCUUAACACAUGCAAGUCGAACGAAGCACUUUACCGGAUUUCUUCGGGAUGAAAGUUUUGUGACUGAGUGGCGGACGGGUGAGUAACGCGUGGGUAACCUGCCUCAUACAGGGGGAUAACAGUUAGAAAUGACUGCUAAUACCGCAUAAGACCACAGGAUUGCAUGAUCCGGUGGUAAAAACUCCGGUGGUAUGAGAUGGACCCGCGUCUGAUUAGGUAGUUGGUGGGAUAACGGCUCACCAAGCCGACGAUCAGUAGCCGACCUGAGAGGGUGACCGGCCACAUUGGGACUGAGACACGGCCCAAACUCCUACGGGAGGCAGCAGUGGGGAAUAUUGCACAAUGGGGGAAACCCUGAUGCAGCGACGCCGCGUGAGCGAUGAAGUAUUUCGGUAUGUAAAGCUCUAUCAGCAGGGAAGAAAAUGACGGUACCUGACUAAGAAGCACCGGCUAAAUACGUGCCAGCAGACGCGGUAAUACGUAUGGUGCAAGCGUUAUCCGGAUUUACUGGGUGUAAAGGGAGCGUAGACGGAGAGGCAAGUCUGAUGUGAAAACCCGGGGCUCAACCCCGGGACUGCAUUGGAAACUGUUUUUCUAGAGUGUCGGAGAGGUAAGUGGAAUUCCUAGUGUAGCGGUGAAAUGCGUAGAUAUUAGGAGGAACACCAGUGGCGAAGGCGGCUUACUGGACGAUGACUGACGUUGAGGCUCGAAAGCGUGGGGAGCAAACAAGAUUAGAUACCCUGGUAGUCCACGCCGUAAACGAUGACUGCUAGGUGUCGGGAGGCAAAGCCUUUCGGUGCCGCAGCAAACGCAAUAAGCAGUCCACCUGGGGAGUGCGUUCGCAAGAAUGAAACUCAAAAGAAUUGACGGGGACCCGCACGAGCGGUGGAGCAUGUGGUUUAAUUCGAAGCAACGCGAAGAACCUUACCUGCCCUUGACAUCCGGCUGACCGGCGAGUAAUGUCGCCUUUCCUUCGGGACAGCCGAGACAGGUGGUGCAUGGUUGUCGUCAGCUCGUGUCGUGAGAUGUUGGGUUAAGUCCCGCAACGAGCGCAACCCUUAUCUUUAGUAGCCAGCAUUUCGGAUGGGCACUCUAGAGAGACUGCCAGGGAUAACCUGGAGGAAGGUGGGGAGGACGUCAAAUCAUCAUGCCCCCUAUGGGCAGGGCUACACACGUGCUACAAUGGCGUAAACAAAGGGAGGCAGACCUGCGAGGGUGAGCAAAUCCCAAAAAUAACGUCUCAGUUCGGAUUGUAGUCUGCAACUCGACUACAUGAAGCUGGAAUCGCUAGUAAUCGCGAAUCAGAAUGUCGCGGUGAAAAAAAUCCCGGGUCUUGC
rnacentral:rRNA from 1 species